UUAUACUAGAGAUCUCUGCUCCUUGUCUCUAGUACAGGUUAGUCUGUAUAGAUAUACAGCAGUUAUACUAGAGAUCUGUGCUCCUUGUCUCUAGUACAGGUUAGUCUGUAUAGAUAUACAGCAGUUAUACUAGAGAUCUCUGCUCCUUGUCUCUAGUACAGGUUAGUCUGUAUAGAUAUACAGCAGUUAUACUAGAGAUCUGUGCUCCUUGUCUCUAGUACAGGUUAGUCUGUAUAGAUAUACAGCAGUUAUACUAGAGAUCUCUGCUCCUUGUCUCUAGUACAGGUUAGUCUUGAGAGCAUUGGGUUUCCGGUGGAAGGAGGAGAGCACGCCAGCGAAAGGCCCUGUCAUACUGUCUGCAGGCUGCCACGCCUUCAGCAGCUCUGGAGCUUGGGCUGCGGGUUGGGCCAUUCCUGGGUGGGCGG